rnacentral:lncRNA from 10 species
AGUCACGUGGUAGACGUGGUGCCUGGGAGCCGGGGUCAGCGAGCGCUCAGUCUGAGAGAAAACGUGUUCCUUCCCCCUGAGACGUGUCCCGUGCCGGGCGAUGGCUCGCGGCAAACCUCCGCUCCCACAGGGAAGGAGCCCUGAGAUAGAGAUGAAUCUACAAAAUGGAAAAAGUGUUGAACUUGGGAGUCAAGAGACCAGGAUUCUAGUUCUGAUGAUGCCCUUCACAUACCGAAUGCCCUGGGGAAGCCGCUUCCCUUCUCUCAGCCUUGGGUUCUCCAUGUGUCAAAUUAGGCUGUGGAAAAAGAAACACUCAUCUGGCUGAACGGAGACAUGAGCCUCUGUAAACUGAUUCUUCCUCCACAAAGGGGCCCUGGCCCUCACAGCCCCAUCCUCUUUCAUCCUUGCUGCCUGAUCCUAGGGAAGCUUUGCUCUGGUGGUGCCUGGAGCUGUGAUGUAUGCAGUCAUUUGAAACCCCAGCUUUGUGGAAGACACGAGACAUUGAUUUUUACUCUACCAUUUGGAGAAAAAUCAUUUUUAUAUUAGCAGAAAUGUUGAUAGACAAGGAGCAAAGUUUAAGGUUGGAAUGACUUUAAGAUUCAUUCAUUUUUUAAAAAUUUAUACUUAUUGAGUGCUUACUAUGUGCCAGCCCUGUCCUAGGCCCUUGGGGACUGGUUGGUAAAUAAAGCAGAUAGAGUAGUCGAUAAUGCCUGAUAUAGUUUGGAUGACUGUCCCCUCCAAAUCUCAUGUUGAAAUGUAAUCCCAAUAUUGGAGGCGGGGCUUGGUGGGAGGUGUUUGGGUCUCGUGGGUGGACCCUCAUGAAUGGCUGGGUGCUGUCCUAGAGGCGGUGAGUGCGUUCUCAUGAGAUCUGGUUGUCUAAAAACAUGUGGCACCUGCCCCCUCUCUCUCUCGCUUCCACUCUCACCAUGUGACACCCAGCUCCUGCUUCACCUUCCACUGUGAUUAAAAGCUUUCUGAGGCCCUCACCAGAUGCUGAUGCCAGCACUAUGCUCCCUGUACAGUCUGUAGGACCAUGAGCCAAUUAAACUUUUUUUUCUUUUCUUUUCUCUUCUCUUCUCUUCUUCUCUUUUCUUUUUGAGAUGGAGCCUUGCUCUGUCACCCAGGCUGGAGUGCAGUAGCGCCAUCUCAGCUCACUCCAACUUCUGCCUCCUGGGUUCAAGCGAUUCUCCUGCCUCAGCCUCCCAAGUAGCUGGGACUACAUGUGUGUGCUACCACGACCAGCUAAUUUUUUAUGGGUUUCACCAUGUUAGCCAGGAUGGUCUCAAUCUCCUGACCUCGUGAUCCACCCUCCUCGGCCUCCCAACGUGCUGGGAUUAUAGGCGUGAGCCACUGCACCCAGCCAAUUUCUAGUGUUUUCUUUUGAUUCUUUCUUAGAGUUUCCAUCUCUGAGCUUACAUUAACUCUAUGUCCUUGCAGUAGAAUCCUGCAUGUAUUAAUCAUAGUCAUUUUAAAUUCCCUGUCUGAUCAUUCCAGCAUUUGCAUCAUAUCCAGAUCUGGUUCUGGUGCUUGCUCAUUUCUUCAGACUUUGCUUUUUCUUGCCUUUUAGCAUAGCUUAUAACAUUUUUUGAAAGCCAAAAAUGAUGUAAUUGAGUAAUAGAAACUGAUGUAAAUAGCCCAUCAGUGUGAGAUUUAUGUUAAUCUGGCUAGAAGUUGGGCCAUGUAUAAUGUUUUCUGUAUGCUGGGGCUUAGAAACCAAUACCCCAAAAUACGGCAUUUUGACAUGCUGAGCUGAAGAAGCUUCCAGGUCUCUCUGACCUCCCUCAUCACUUUCUCUGCCAUAUAACUUGAAGUUCCUUUAUCUGCCUAUCUACUGUGGAAAAUGAGUCCAACAACCUAAGCACACCUGAACAGACACGUUACAGGUACAGUGACUGUCUCAGAGUCCUGAAUCGAUUCACUCUUCCUAGUAAUCCUCUCAAGAGAAUUCCUCUUCUGCCCGCUACCAUAGCCUGUUUGAUCAGGAUGCAAGCCCCCAUUCUAUCGGUAACCUCGAGAUGGUAUACAAGCUUUUGUACAUCACUGGGAGGUUGGGUCUUCAUUCUGAAGGCUCCCAUGUAUACACAUUAAAUAAAUCUGUAUGCCUUUUCUCCCAUU